rnacentral:rRNA from 1 species
CAAUAGCGUAUAUUAAUGUUGUUGCAGUUAAAAAGCUCGUAGUUGGAUUUCUGGUGGGAGCGGCCGGUCCGCCGUAAGGUGUGUACUUGGUUGUCUCCUGUCAUCCUUGUGGGAACUGCUCUGGCAUUAAGUUGUCGGGGUUAGGGAACACAUCGUUUACUGUGAAAAAAUUAGAGGGUUUAAAGCAGGCUUAUGCCGUUGAAUACAUUAGCAUGGAAUAAUAAGAUAGGACUUUGGCGUCUAUUUUGUUGGUUUGCACACCAAGGUAAUGAUUAAUAGGGAUAGUUGGGGGUAUUCGUAUUUAAUUGUCAGAGGUGAAAUUCUUGGAUUUAUGAAAGACGAACUUCUGCGAAAGCAUUUACCAAAGAUGUUUUCAUUAA